rnacentral:lncRNA from 1 species
GUGAAUAAAUUUGAAGGAUCUGUCCAAUAUUGUGAGCAAUUUGUAGUAACUAACUUCAAAAUGGUACCUCUGUCAGUGUCUUGAUGGGCCCAGCUCCCCCAGCUGGUCUCCACUGGCUCUGUCAUCUAUUCUGACUGGCAUUUUGUUGUGACCAGCCUUUCACAGGCAUCAGUUUAGUCUCUGAGAAGCCAUCAGCAUAACACAAUCAAGUCCAAAAUAUGUAAUUAGUAAAUCAACUAAGUACACCUCUUGGAAACAGGCAUAUUUGUACCAUUGAUUUUUGGUCAGAAAAAUCAUGAAUAACCCUACAGUUCUAAAAACAUGUGGAACAGCCAGCUUCAUUGGUAAAUUUUAACUCAGUGCAGUGGACAAGUGCUAGGCUUCCCAGUGUUGAAAAUAACCGUAAAUAUUUUAAUUCAUAUUCAAUAAUAAGUGCUUUGUGUGGAUCAUCUCGAGCAAUUUUGUUUCUAAAGGGGUAGCACAAGGUAGAUGCUCAAUAUAAUUUGAUCAAUUAUUUGUUAAAGAUUUUUGACUAGUCCUAACCAGAAUUUGUUUAGCAUAUGAAACAGUCAUCUAGAAAAAAAAUAGGAUCUUUCUUUGCCUUCAUAUAUC